rnacentral:rRNA from 1 species
GAGUAACCUGCCCCAGACUCUGGGAUAACUCCGGGAAACCGGGGCUAAUACUGGAUAUCACUUCCUGGUGCAUGCCGGGUUGUUGAAAGGGUUUCUGGUCUGGGAUGGGCUCGCGGCCUAUCAGCUUGUUGGUGGGGUGAUGGCCUACCAAGGCGAUGACGGGUAGCCGGCCUGAGAGGGUGACCGGCCACACUGGGACUGAGACACGGCCCAGACUCCUACGGGAGGCAGCAGUGGGGAAUAUUGCACAAUGGGCGCAAGCCUGAUGCAGCGACGCCGCGUGAGGGAUGACGGCCUUCGGGUUGUAAACCUCUUUCAGUAGGGAAGAAGCCACUUGUGGUGACGGUACCUGCAGAAGAAGCGCCGGCUAACUACGUGCCAGCAGCCGCGGUAAUACGUAGGGCGCAAGCGUUGUCCGGAAUUAUUGGGCGUAAAGAGCUCGUAGGCGGUUUGUCGCGUCUGCUGUGAAAUCCUCAGGCUCAACUUGGGGCGUGCAGUGGGUACGGGCAGACUAGAGUGCGGUAGGGGAGACUGGAAUUCCUGGU